rnacentral:misc_RNA from 1 species
GUGAAUACAAACGCUAGGGUGUCUCUGCUUCGGCAAGCCCCCUUGCACCCUUCACAUCCAUAACACCUGUGCACUGUAAGAUGACUCUCUGGCUCUUGGGCCUCUGGGUUAUCUGACCUUUUUACAAACAUUAAUACGUAACAAAUGUAGUCUUAUUAUAACAAAAUA